UAUUUCCUACGGGAGGCAGCAGUGGGGGAUAUUGCACAAUGGGGGAAACCCUGAUGCAGCGACGCCGCGUGAGUGAAGAAGUAUUUCGGUAUGUAAAGCUCUAUCAGCAGGGAAGAAAAAAGACGGUACCUGACUAAGAAGCCCCGGCUAACUACGUGCCAGCAGCCGCGGUAAUACGUAGGGGGCAAGCGUUAUCCGGAUUUACUGGGCGUAAAGGGAGCGUAGACGGCAAUACAAGUCGGAAGUGAAAAACCCGGGCUCAACCUGGGAAGUGCUUUGGAAACUGUAUG
rnacentral:rRNA from 1 species